rnacentral:rRNA from 1 species
CGCAAGGCUAAAACUCAAAGGAAUAGACGGGGGCCCGCACAAGCGGUGGAGCAUGGGGUUUAAUUCGAUAAUAAGCGAGGAACCUCACCUAGGCUUGACAUCUCGAGAAAGCUCUGGAAACAGAGCCGUGCCUUUUGGAACUCGAUGACAGGCGCUGCAUGGUUGUCGUCAGCUCGUGCCCUGAGGUGUUCGGUUAAGUCCGUAAACGAGCGCAACCCUCGUCGUGUGUUGUAUUUUUCACGCGAGACUGCCGGCCCUAAGCCGGAGGAAGGCGAGGAUGACGUCAAAUCAGCAUGGCCCUUAUGCCUAGGGCGACACCCGUGCUACAAUGGGGAGUACAAAGGGUAGCGAAAGCGCAAGCUGGAGCCAGUCCUAAAAACUUCCCCCAGUUCGGAUUGAGGGCUGCAAUUCGCCCUCAUGAAGUUGGAAUCGCUAGUAACCGUGGAUCAGCCAUGUCACGGUGAAUAUGUUCCCGGGCAUUGUACUCACCGCCCGUCACGUCAUGGAAGAUGGGAGCACCCAAAGCACCAUUGGUAAUAGAGGGUACCAACGGUGAAACCAUUGACUGGGACGAAG